rnacentral:lncRNA from 10 species
CUGAAAUUUAAUGUUAGCGUCUUUGUUCCUUGGAGAUCCUGCUGUGGUGCAUUAGGAGGGAUUUAGUCCCGGAAGUCAGUAUGAUAAUAAAGGACAGCUUUGUUGAAUGUCUGCUAGUCCUGUGACCCUUUACUGCUACUUACACAACAAUGGCAAAAUUCCUCUACGACUCGAGAGGAUCCACACUGUGAGAAUUUUUAGUAGUUCCUUUCCUUGGGCUCUUCCGAUUCAGGAGUCAAGUCUCCUGGUACUCAGGCCACAUCUGUUGAGUGAGUUUAAGUGGGUAAAUGGAAUAACUUUUGUGAUGCCCAUGUGAAGACAGGACAAUCAACUAUAUCUAUAGAACUGGAAGAUUCUUCUAAAAUGUUACUUUGAAAGUUUGGACUUCUGCUAGAUCUUUGC